rnacentral:rRNA from 1 species
CCGGCAAACGGGUGCGGAACACGUACACAACCUUCCUUUAAGUGGGGGAUAGCCCAGAGAAAUUUGGAUUAAUACCCCGUAACAUUAUUUGGUGGCAUCAUUGAAUAAUUAAAGCUCCGGCGCUUGAAGAUGGGUGUGCGUCUGAUUAGGUAGUUGGUAGGGGUAACGGCCCACCAAGCCAGCGAUCAGUAACUGGUGUGAGAGCACGACCAGUCACACGGGCACUGAGACACGGGCCCG